GCCAGGCAUUGUGGUGGGCGCCUGUAGUCCCAGCUACUUGGGAGGCUGAGGCAAGAGAAUCUCUUAAGCCCAGGAGUUGGAGGUUGCUGUGAGCUGUGAUGCCAUGGCACUCUACCCAGGGGGAUAGCUUGAGGCUCCGUCUCAAAAAAAAAAAAAAUAACUUCACCUAUUAUAGAUAUAAAAUAAUCCUUUUUUUUUUGAGACAGAGCCUCAAGCUAUCACCCUGGGUAGAGUACCAUGGCAUCACAGCUCACAGCAACCUCCAACUCCUGGGCUCAAGCGAGUCUCCUGCCUCAG
rfam:Otolemur garnettii contig135172, whole genome shotgun sequence.